rnacentral:rRNA from 1 species
UGGAGCCGUAGCGAAAGCGAGUCCGAACAGGGCGUUCAGUCGCGUGUAGUAGACGCGAAACCUGGUGAUCUACCCAUGGGCAGCGUGAAGUCCAGGUAAAACUGGAUGGAGGCGCGAACCUUCUAGUGUUCAAAAACUAUUGGAUGACUUGUGGGUAGCGGUGAAAUGCCAAACGAACCAGGAGAUAGCUCGUUCUCCCCGAAAUGCAUUUAGGUGCAGCGUCGAAUGAUCUCCGUUGGAGGUAGGGCUCUGAAUGGGCUAGGGGGCUCACCGCUUACCAAACCCCAAUCAAACCGCGAAUGCCAUCGGACAAAGUUCGGCAGUGAGACAGUGGGGGCUAAGCUUCAUUGUCAAAAGGGAAACAGCCCAGACCACCAGCUAAGGUCCCGAAGUCCAUGCUCAGUGUAAAAGGAUGUUGAAUCGCUCAGACAGCCAGGAGGUUGGCUUAGAAGCAGCCACCCUUUAAAGAGUGCGUAAUAGCUCACUGGUCGAGUGGUUCUGCGCCGACAAUUCAACGGG